CACCCCCACCACUACCUCCUCCUCCACCACCACCAUUAUUCGUGCCCUUUUUAUCGAUAACAUCAUCAUGAGUAACAUUGUAGGAGUUGUUGGCAUUUGUUGGAGCUUGAGCAUUGCUACUUCCAUCCACAUUUUCAUCACCUCUCAAGCACACCAAAAAUGCAAAAAAUAAAAACAACAAUGUUAACAAUCUUUGACUUGAAAUACAAUAUUUCUUCAUGUUUGCUUUGCUUGAUCAAGAUAUAUAUUUUUGCUCUAUUGUCUUCCUUUUUAUAGUUGUUCCUAAGACUAGAGAAAGGCAACUAGAUAUUGAACAUGUUACAUACCUACUUGGUCUUGUUCUAGUCAUGUUGAAGUUAUCUAACG
rnacentral:lncRNA from 1 species